rnacentral:lncRNA from 1 species
AAGCACGAACCUUCUUGUAGUGUCUAUCCAGCAAAAGAAGAGAAAACAUAUGCUAUAGUGAGUUUCUCUCAGGCCAUGGCUGAUCUGAACCUUGUGUUCUUGUUCUUCCUCCUCUUGUCUCCUCCCAUCUUAUCCGAUGGGGUGCUUCAGGUGAUGGGAACAUCGAUGAAUAGGAGGAGCUUGCUUCAGGCCAAGGGUGGCUGCCCUGUGAGCUUUGAGAACCAGAACUACACGACCAUCACCAGCAAGUGCAAAUCGCCAUGGCCUGCCGACCUCUGCUGCCCAGCUCUGAACGAGUUCGCAUGCAAUUUCAGCCAAUAUAUCAACGACGAAAGCACCAACUGCGCAGAAUCGAUGUGGGUCUACCUCAACGCCCAUGGAAGCUAUCCAGCUGGCCUGUUUUCAAACGAGUGCGCAGUGCUUGACUGCAACGGUAACAAUAGCACCAUUAGUACUAACCAAACUGCUAAUGGAAGCGGCACCCGAGGGGCUAAAGGAAUAUCAGAGAUGUACUCACUUGUGACGACCUUAAUUGUAUCUGGACUCCCGGUGUUAUUGUUCUACUGAAUGAAGUACUCUCUCCGUUUCACAAUGUAAGUCAUUCUAGCAUUUCCCACAUUCAUAUUGAUGCUAAUGAAUCUAGAUAGAUAUAGAAUGACUUACAUUGUAAAACGGAGGAAGUAAGAAAAGAUACACUAUCACACAGAAUGGACAUGUUACAGUUGUGGUAAUAAGUUGCGUUUCAGCAUAUAUAUACAUUACGAGAUAAGAGUACCCCC